CCUACCUUCUCCCUGGAUCCCGACGAUGCCCCGCCCCUACCUCCUUCCUCGGUCCCGGCUCCGCCCGACUCCCAACCUCCCAGGAUCCCGGCGACGCCCUGCCCCAUCCUCCUCCCUCGCUCCCGGCGCCACCCGAGCCACAACCUCCCUGGAUCCAGGCGUCACUCCACCACCACCUCCUACAUCCCACAGCAGCAGCCGCCGAUGCCGCCUGUGCGCGCCUCCGUCCUCCUCCAGGUGCCGGCAGCGUGCCCCGCCCCACGCCGCCUGCCACGCGCGCACCUGCCCCAAACCGCUGGCUUAUCGGCUUUCCAGGCCACCGCCAGCUCGCCGGUCGUUCAUCUUCGCCACUUACUGAAGCUUGUUGUUUUUAAAGGAAAAGAGAUGGUUUUUCACUGUGUUGCUCGUGUAUGCCAAUGAUGUGACGCAGCUCAGCUACUUGUGCGUUUGCACUAAUGAUAAUUUAGCCGUGGUUGCUUGUCUACGUGGCCAUGGAUGCACCCGGUGUACAGGAUUCCUUUUCUUUGCUUUAGAACAAUGAUAUUUCUAACAGCAAACAAGUUUUUAAAUUGCUCCAUCAAACAGGAUAGUAUACAAGUGCUCUUCCCAAUAGGUUAUUAGUAUGUAAGUGCUGCAACUUCAGUCCGUCAGUUGAUAUGCCUUUGCAAAGUUUAUGACUGAUAUAGAAUAGAUGCACCAUAAUUCAAUAUCUAAAUAUCUUAAAUAUGUUAGGAUUUUACCUGCUAUUUUCUUUGUGACACACAUAUAAGUAGAUUCCUAUUGACUCAUUCGUAAAAUGAUUUGCCGAUGUGACCAACUAAGUUAUUGCAUGUAGUAUAUGUGCUUCCUUUUCGUUGUCAGGUUUAAAAUAUUGUUGUUAAUUGCCCUAAGAGAUCUUGAUUUGGAAUUUGUAUACAUUUUUUCCUGCCGGUUGCAUCCUGUCUAUUGGGAAAAGGUAUAAUAAUUUAUUAUCUAUGUGAUUUUAUUUUCUUUCUUCGGUUCAUUUAUUAGCAAUAUGAACCCUAUUCUCCCUUAGGCAACUUUUCUCACACUUAUUUACUCCUUGCAGAAUGUGGAAAAAGAGACCAAUAUAUACUGUGACCCCUAUUCCCUCGUCAACCUCACUUGAAGCCGUGAACUGACCACUGCUCAUCUCUCAUCUCUCUACUGUUGCUGCUCUUUUUUGUCUCAUGAAGUUAAGACAGAUUGUCGGCGAAAUCAGUGACGCGAUUUCGGUAAAUUAUGAUGAUCCAUCUGGGCA